rnacentral:rRNA from 1 species
ACGGGAGGCAGCAGUAGGGAAUAUUGGACAAUGGGGGCAACCCUGAUCUAGCGACGCCGCGUGAGUGAAGAAAUAUUUCGGUAUGUAAAGCUCUAUCAGCAGGGAAGAAAAUGACGGUACUUGACUAAGAAGCCCCGGCUAACUACGUGCCAGCAGCCGCGGUAAUACGUAGGGGGCAAGCGUUAUCCGGAUUUACUGGGUGUAAAGGGAGCGUAGACGGCAUAGCAAGUCUGAAGUGAAAUGCAUGGGCUCAACCCAUGAACUGCUUUGGAAACUGUUAAGCUAGAGUGCAGGAGAGGUAAGUGGAAUUCCUAGUGUAGCGGUGAAAUGCGUAGAUAUUAGGAGGAACACCAGUGGCGAAGGCGGCUUACUGGACUGUAACUGACAUUGAGGCUCGAAAGCGUGGGGAGCAAACAGGAUUAGAUACCCUGGUA